rnacentral:lncRNA from 1 species
CUGAUAUAGCCCUGAGAUGUGUCUUUGGCCACGUUUUCAGCCUGGCCAUGUAUCUGACCACAUGGUCUUAGACUGGUCAGAGAAACCUGCCAGCAGGUUUCAAAGGAAGAAAAUACAUUUCUUUUCUGUCUUGAGGCAUGAACAGGGAGCUCCUGAGGGACUGGGACAACCCUGGAGGGAAAGCAACUUUUGCUAAGCAAUAUAUAGGACAAUGAAAUUACCAUGACUAAUUUGGAUUGGAUCUUUGACACAGUCAGGAUAACAGAUGCACAGAAUGAAAGUGUUAAAAGAGGAGCUGCUGGCAUGUUGGGAAUCAUAGUGUGGUUUUCCCUUUGGAGAGGUACACGAGGGACAGGAAAGGAUCAAGAGCAUUCAGGAGGACACAGCUGUCGGUGCAGAAGUCAGCCUUCAAAACCGUUUGAAAUCCACAUGACAGCAUUGCAGGACUGUGACAAAAAUGUGAUCUUCCAGACAGUCACAGAAGACAGGGCUGUGUGGACAGUUAGACGUAGGGGUAACUCAGGACUUGGGAGGGAUCUGUGCUGAGACAAGUAAGAGGAUGACCAACAUGGAGAUUGGAGGCGAUUCUCAGAAAGUAUCAGUGGGGAAAGCACUCUGGACAUCACAGGGGCUUUGGGGAAAAAUCCACACUUUGGAAGGAGCACAGAUAUCACUGAACCAAGCUGCUAUGGAUUUUCAGUUCACGCACAUUAAGAUCAACUCUGUUUUUGACACCCAAAUUUCUCGAUGAAAUCUUCAGAUGGCAAAAAUCAGGAUGACUCCAAUGAAGCUGAUGGCACACUAUCAAUAAACUGAUGUAUCUUAGUCUUUGAUCUUCUACU